rnacentral:rRNA from 1 species
AUACGGUGAAUACGUUCCCGGACCUUGUACACACCGCCCGUCAAGCCAUGGAAGCCGGGUGUACCUAAAGUCGGUAACCGCAAGGAGCCGCCUAGGGUAAAACUAGUAACUGGGGCU